rnacentral:rRNA from 1 species
GGUUAAGCGACUAAGCGUACACGGUGGAUGCCCUGGCAGUCAGAGGCGAUGAAGGACGUGCUAAUCUGCGAUAAGCGUCGGUAAGGUGAUAUGAACCGUUAUAACCGGCGAUUUCCGAAUGGGGAAACCCAGUGUGAUUCGUCACACUAUCAUUAACUGAAUCCAUAGGUUAAUGAGGCGAACCGGGGGAACUGAAACAUCUAAGUACCCCGAGGAAAAGAAAUCAACCGAGAUUCCCCCAGUAGCGGCGAGCGAACGGGGAGCAGCCCAGAGCCUGAAUCAGUGUGUGUGUUAGUGGAAGCGUCUGGAAAGGCGCGCGAUACAGGGUGACAGCCCCGUACACAAAAAUGCACAUGCUGUGAGCUCGAUGAGUAGGGCGGGACACGUGGUAUCCUGUCUGAAUAUGGGGGGACCAUCCUCCAAGGCUAAAUACUCCUGACUGACCGAUAGUGAACCAGUACCGUGAGGGAAAGGCGAAAAGAACCCCGGCGAGGGGAGUGAAAAAGAACCUGAAACCGUGUACGUACAAGCAGUGGGAGCACAGAGCAAUCUGUGUGACUGCGUACCUUUUGUAUAAUGGGUCAGCGACUUAUAUUCUGUAGCAAGGUUAACCGAAUAGGGGAGCCGAAGGGAAACCGAGUCUUAACUGGGCGUUAAGUUGCAGGGUAUAGACCCGAAACCCGGUGAUCUAGCCAUGGGCAGGUUGAAGGUUGGGUAACACUAACUGGAGGACCGAACCGACUAAUGUUGAAAAAUUAGCGGAUGACUUGUGGCUGGGGGUGAAAGGCCAAUCAAACCGGGAGAUAGCUGGUUCUCCCCGAAAGCUAUUUAGGUAGCGCCUCGUGAAUUCAUCUCCGGGGGUAGAGCACUGUUUCGGCAAGGGGGUCAUCCCGACUUACCAACCCGAUGCAAACUGCGAAUACCGGAGAAUGUUAUCACGGGAGACACACGGCGGGUGCUAACGUCCGUCGUGAAGAGGGAAACAACCCAGACCGCCAGCUAAGGUCCCAAAGUCAUGGUUAAGUGGGAAACGAUGUGGGAAGGCCCAGACAGCCAGGAUGUUGGCUUAGAAGCAGCCAUCAUUUAAAGAAAGCGUAAUAGCUCACUGGUCGAGUCGGCCUGCGCGGAAGAUGUAACGGGGCUAAACCAUGCACCGAAGCUGCGGCAGCGACGCUUAUGCGUUGUUGGGUAGGGGAGCGUUCUGUAAGCCUGCGAAGGUGUGCUGUGAGGCAUGCUGGAGGUAUCAGAAGUGCGAAUGCUGACAUAAGUAACGAUAAAGCGGGUGAAAAGCCCGCUCGCCGGAAGACCAAGGGUUCCUGUCCAACGUUAAUCGGGGCAGGGUGAGUCGACCCCUAAGGCGAGGCCGAAAGGCGUAGUCGAUGGGAAACAGGUUAAUAUUCCUGUACUUGGUGUUACUGCGAAGGGGGGACGGAGAAGGCUAUGUUGGCCGGGCGACGGUUGUCCCGGUUUAAGCGUGUAGGCUGGUUUUCCAGGCAAAUCCGGAAAAUCAAGGCUGAGGCGUGAUGACGAGGCACUACGGUGCUGAAGCAACAAAUGCCCUGCUUCCAGGAAAAGCCUCUAAGCAUCAGGUAACAUCAAAUCGUACCCCAAACCGACACAGGUGGUCAGGUAGAGAAUACCAAGGCGCUUGAGAGAACUCGGGUGAAGGAACUAGGCAAAAUGGUGCCGUAACUUCGGGAGAAGGCACGCUGAUAUGUAGGUGAAGUCCCUCGCGGAUGGAGCUGAAAUCAGUCGAAGAUACCAGCUGGCUGCAACUGUUUAUUAAAAACACAGCACUGUGCAAACACGAAAGUGGACGUAUACGGUGUGACGCCUGCCCGGUGCCGGAAGGUUAAUUGAUGGGGUUAGCGCAAGCGAAGCUCUUGAUCGAAGCCCCGGUAAACGGCGGCCGUAACUAUAACGGUCCUAAGGUAGCGAAAUUCCUUGUCGGGUAAGUUCCGACCUGCACGAAUGGCGUAAUGAUGGCCAGGCUGUCUCCACCCGAGACUCAGUGAAAUUGAACUCGCUGUGAAGAUGCAGUGUACCCGCGGCAAGACGGAAAGACCCCGUGAACCUUUACUAUAGCUUGACACUGAACAUUGAGCCUUGAUGUGUAGGAUAGGUGGGAGGCUUUGAAGUGUGGACGCCAGUCUGCAUGGAGCCGACCUUGAAAUACCACCCUUUAAUGUUUGAUGUUCUAACGUGGACCCGUAAUCCGGGUUGCGGACAGUGUCUGGUGGGUAGUUUGACUGGGGCGGUCUCCUCCUAAAGAGUAACGGAGGAGCACGAAGGUUGGCUAAUCCUGGUCGGACAUCAGGAGGUUAGUGCAAUGGCAUAAGCCAGCUUGACUGCGAGCGUGACGGCGCGAGCAGGUGCGAAAGCAGGUCAUAGUGAUCCGGUGGUUCUGAAUGGAAGGGCCAUCGCUCAACGGAUAAAAGGUACUCCGGGGAUAACAGGCUGAUACCGCCCAAGAGUUCAUAUCGACGGCGGUGUUUGGCACCUCGAUGUCGGCUCAUCACAUCCUGGGGCUGAAGUAGGUCCCAAGGGUAUGGCUGUUCGCCAUUUAAAGUGGUACGCGAGCUGGGUUUAGAACGUCGUGAGACAGUUCGGUCCCUAUCUGCCGUGGGCGCUGGAGAAUUGAGGGGGGCUGCUCCUAGUACGAGAGGACCGGAGUGGACGCAUCACUGGUGUUCGGGUUGUCAUGCCAAUGGCACUGCCCGGUAGCUAAAUGCGGAAGAGAUAAGUGCUGAAAGCAUCUAAGCACGAAACUUGCCCCGAGAUGAGUUCUCCCUGACUCCUUGAGAGUCCUGAAGGAACGUUGAAGACGACGACGUUGAUAGGCCGGGUGUGUAAGCGCAGCGAUGCGUUGAGCUAACCGGUACUAAUGAACCGUGAGGCUUAACCUU